GACGAACGCUGGCGGCGUGCUUAACACAUGCAAGUCGUACGGUAAGGCCCUUUCGGGGGUACACGAGUGGCGAACGGGUGAGUAACACGUGAGUAACCUGCCCACAACUUUGGGAUAACGCUAGGAAACUGGUGCUAAUACUGGAUAUGUUCUCCUGCUGCAUGGUGGGGGUUGGAAAGCUCCGGCGGUUGUGGAUGGACUCGCGGCCUAUCAGCUUGUUGGUGGGGUAGUGGCCUACCAAGGCGGCGACGGGUAGCCGGCCUGAGAGGGUGACCGGCCACAUUGGGACUGAGAUACGGCCCAGACUCCUACGGGAGGCAGCAGUGGGGAAUAGUGCACAAUGGGCGCAAGCCUGAUGCAGCAACGCCGCGUGCGGGAUGACGGCCUUCGGGUUGUAAACCGCUUUCAGCAGGGACGAAGCUUUUUGUGACGGUACCUGCAGAAGAAGCACCGGCUAACUACGUG
rnacentral:rRNA from 1 species